rnacentral:rRNA from 1 species
UACGUAGGGCGCAAGCGUUGUCCGGAAUCACUGGGUGUAAAGGGUGCGUAGGCGGAUGGAUAAGUCAGCGGUGAAAUCUCACGGCUCAACCGUGAAACUGCCGAUGAUACUGCCCAUCUUGAGUUUGGGAGAGGUCGAUGGAAUUCCAGGUGUAGCGGUGAAAUGCGUAGAUAUCUGGAAGAACACCAGUGGCGAAGGCGGUCGACUGGCCCACAACUGACGCUGAGGCACGAAAGCGUGGGGAUCAAACAGG